rnacentral:tRNA from 1 species
GGGGUUGUGGCUCAGUGGUAGAGCGCUUGCCUAGCAUGCAUGAGGUACUGGGUUCGAUCCCCAGCACCA